ensembl:lncRNA
GGUCCAAUCAGAGCUUAGCUGCCAGCCUACACCACAGCAACACUCCCUCUGAACCACAUCCUGCCACCUACACCACAGCUCUCGGCAAUGCUGGAUCCUUAGCCCACUGAGCAAGGCUAGAGAUUGAACCUGCAUCCUCAUGGAUACUAGUCAGAUUCAUUACCGCUGGGCCACCAUGGGAACUCCGACUUUGACUGACCAUCUGCUUCUUCCAACAGGAAGACACCACGGUCACCUCACAUGCUUCUUCUCUUUGCCCCCACAUACUCUAGGGUACAAAAAUAACUGCCAGGCCCAAUUUUGCUCUUGAGUUGGAAAUUAAGACCAAGAACAAAAAGACCACAUAGACACUCAUGGGGGGGAGGUUUAGACAAGUAAAUGGCUGCAUAACAAUUCCGUUAGUACUUAUUUCCGCCACCCACAGAUGGACGCACCCACACAUACCAACCUCUCGCCCACAGAAGGACUUGGUAAGACUAAAAUUUGCAUAGAGGUGUAAUGACCACCAUACAUUUAGAAAAACCGCCGACAACCCAGUUUUCUACAAGCAGUGUACAGUAGAUGCUUCCACGUUGCACACCAUCCUCAGCAAAACUUACUCUGCUUCAACUGGUUUAUGUUCACAGCAACUUGGGGUACUGUGACAAAAAACCCCAUUCAUGGUCUUUAUGCAUUAACAUACAUGUGCAUUAACAUACAUGCCUUUAUAAGGCAUGUGACCUUAUAAAGGCAUCUUAAACCCUGUGACCCAAAUUGAACUUGACUCCAAUCAAACAUCUGGAUCCAGCUGCCGAUGUGCAUAAAAUACGCAGGAACAUGAAGCUCUGUUAGGAGCGUGCAGUCACCAAGAUUCUGACUGUGGGAAACCCUACAGGUCCAGAACCUCGGAUAUUCCCCCAGAUAAGUUACCAGAAAAUGGGGACUAGCAGGGAACGUUGUAGAUUAAAAGACACUUAAGGACAUUUCUGGUUAUUUUUAAAUGUGCAAGAUUAAACUACAGCAUCUAGGGCUAUGCGCUGGGUGAUAAAACUCAAAUGCGCAGAAGUUAUGGAUCUAAAAGUCACAGAAUUAUUUCAGGGGAAGAAACAAGGCAAGAGAAAGACCAGCCAAGUUCCGCCACCUGACCUGGGGAGUGGUUCCAGCAGUGUUGGCUUUAUGGUAAUUCAUUAAACCAUACGUUUUCUCUGUGGUUUUCAUAUAUCUGCAUUUUACAGUGCAAGGUUGAAAAGGUAUAAUCCAAUUUUACUCCCUAAGAAUGCUCUAAAGCUGAACUCUCCAUCACCAUAGCCACUGACUACAUGUUAACUUGUAAUUAAAAACAAAAAUUCAGUUCUACAUUUCAGGUUCUUUAAAGCCAGCCGAUGCUAGUGGCUACCAUACUAGAUAGCACAGAUUACGGUGCAUUCGCAGCAUCCCAAAACUAUUGGACAACAGUCUAGAGAACAGCUAGCUUUCCAGAUCAAGCUCUGAAUUCCUAAUUCAGCUCUCCAGGAGAAGAGGGGGGGGAACCUGGCAAAUGCCUGAGAUCCUUGAUCUUCAAUGGCUUCCAUUCCUCUCAUUCUGCUUGGAGCUAAGACUCCUGGCAACGAGAAGCAAUGUGAACCCAACAAUCACCCAGGAAGCACAGUGACCAGAGGCAGACCCCACCCGACUGACAUUACUCCAAUGCAACUAACAGUAAUAAAAAACAGGAGUGGUCCGAUUUGUUAUCAAGGAAGACAUGUGACUGCAGCAAUGCAUGAUUAGAUAGACCAUACAACUUCGAUAAAAAAAUGACUUAUCUCCAAGGUUAUAAAAUUAGACGUACUGUGGGAUCCUACAUGGGACCCUGUGACAAAGGAAAAUAUAGUGAAAAUUCAAACAAGCACUAAACUGCAGUUAUUAUAGCACCAAUGGUCAUUUCCUGUCCUUCAUAAUUAAUAAUCUGGUUAUAUAAGAUGCCAAGGCUAAGUGAAGCUGGGCAAGAGAUACAGAAACUCCCUGUAUCUUACCAUUCUUCAACUUUCCAGUGUCUAGAAUUAGUUCAAGGAAUAUUAUUGCUUCCAAAGAAUUAAGGAGCUUGAUGAGAAAAACUCCAGGUAGCACCAAGGACGGUUUUAU